AACUUAAGCAUAUCAAUAAGCGGAGGAAAAGAAACCAACAGGGAUUACCUCAGUAACGGCGAGUGAAGCGGUAAAAGCUCAAAUUUGAAAUCUGGCUCUUUUAGAGUCCGAGUUGUAAUUUGUAGAAGAUGCUUCGGGUGUGGUUCCGGUCUAAGUUCCUUGGAACAGGACGUCAUAGAGGGUGAGAAUCCCGUAUGUGACUGGAUACCUAUGCUCAUGUGAAGCUCUUUCGACGAGUCGAGUUGUUUGGGAAUGCAGCUCAAAAUGGGUGGUAUAUUUCAUCUAAAGCUAAAUAUUGGCCAGAGACCGAUAGCGCACAAGUAGAGUGAUCGAAAGAUGAAAAGCACUUUGGAAAGAGAGUUAAACAGUACGUGAAAUUGUUGAAAGGGAAGCGCUUGCAAUCAGACUUGCACUUGGUGUUCAUCAGGGUUUCGUGCCCUGUGUACUUCAUCAAGUUCAGGCCAGCAUCAGUUUGAGUGGUUAGAUAAAGGCUUAGAGAAUGUGGCCCUCUUCGGGGGGUGUUAUAGCUCUAGGUGCAAUGUAGCCUACUUGGACUGAGGACCGCGCUUCGGCUAGGAUGCUGGCGUAAUGGUUGUAAGCGACCCGUCUUGAAACACGGACCAAGGAGUGUACCUAAUAUGCGAGUGUUUGGGUGUUAAACCCAUACGCGUAAUGAAAGUGAACGCUGGUGAGAACCCUUAAGGGUGCAUCAUCGACCGAUCUUGAUGUCUUCGGAUGGAUUUGAGUAAGAGCAUAUUGGGUGCGACCCGAAAGAUGGUGAUCUAUACGUGAAUAGGGUGAAGCCAGAGGAAACUCUGGUGGAGGCUCGCAGCGGUUCUGACGUGCAAAUCGAUCGUCAAAUUUGCGUAUAGGGGCGAAAGACUAAUCGAACCAUCUAGUAGCUGGUUCCUGCCGAAGUUUCCCU
rnacentral:rRNA from 1 species